CAGCAUAACAGCAACAUUGCCGUGCAGAGCUUUAGAGAGAGCACACUAUGUUCUUGCCUUGCUUCUGGAAGGGGGUUUGUCUCGAUUCGUGUUUCAAGAUGAGUAGGAAGGAGGAUGAAAUACGUGUAUGGAAGAAGACAGAAAGGAAAAGUAGACAUCAGCAUCAUCUGUGCUCUCCCACGAAGAUAAAUUGAACGCUAUAAAAAAAGUGAGGAUAUGAAGGAUGAUGCAUCUUAAUUUUUAAAGAUUGCGUGACCUCUCUCUCCCUUGAUGAAUUGUUUGAAACAGUAACAGUUAUUACAUUAAUGAUGCCCCAUCGCCUCUGGACUCCUGCUGCUCCGCUGCAGAAGCCACAGAUACAUGAUUGAUCCCGCAAAGAUAAGGCACAGAAUGGUUAUCAAGACUCCUAUCGUUAAACUCUUAUUAUCUGCAACAAAACACAUUGACUUCUAUCAAGAACCAC